CCCUUAGAUGUUCUGGGCUGCACGCGCGCUACACUGACACACUCAGCGAGUUCCUGUACCGAGAGGUUCGGGUAAUCAUGUGAGCGUGUGUCGUGAUGGGGAUAGAAUAUUGUAAUUAUUGCUCUUCAACGAGGAAUUCCUAGUAAGCGCAAGUCAGCAGCUUGCGCUGAUUACGUCCCUGCCCUUUGUACACACCGCCCGUCGCUCCUACCGAUUGGGUGAUCCGGUGAAUGACUCGGACUUUGACGUUCCUAGACACUAGGUUCGUCGAGGGAAGUUUUGUGAACCUUAUCACUUGGAGGAAGGAGAANUCGUAACA
rnacentral:rRNA from 1 species